rnacentral:rRNA from 1 species
UUAUAGAGUUGCAAAACUCCCUUAAACCAUUGUGGACGAGCUUGAUAGGUGCUCUGUCAGGCCGGAGGCUGGGCCCGUUAAACGGCCCGCUGAAGGCCCGCCGGAGUGUCCUUAAACUCUUAUUGUUGGCAUCUUCUGAGGAACUUAUUUAAUAAGUCAAAACUUUCAACAACGGAUCUCUUGGUUCUGGCAUCGAUGAAGAACGCAGCGAAAUGCGAUAAGUAAUGUGAAUUGCAGAAUUCAGUGAAUCAUCGAAUCUUUGAACGCACAUUGCGCCCGCUAGUAUUCUGGCGGGCAUGCCUGUUCGAGCGUCAUUUCAACCAUCAAGCCUUUAGGCUUGUGUUGGAGCCCUGCGGCCGUCCGCAGCCUCCUAAAUCUAGUGGCGGGCUCGCUAUCACACCGAGUGCAGUACAUAUUAUCUUCUCUCAGGGCGUGUGGCGGGUGCUGGCCGUGAAACCCCCCUUUUUAUCAAGGUUGACCUCGGAUCAGGUAGGAAUACCCGCUGAACUUAAGCAUAUCAAUAAGCGGAGGAAAAGAAACCAACAGGGAUUGCCCUAGUAACGGCGAGUGAAGCGGCAACAGCUCAAAUUUGAAAUCUGGCUUCGGCCCGAGUUGUAAUUUGUAGAGGAAGCUUCUGGUGCGGUGCUGUCCGAGUCCCUUGGAACAGGGCGCCAUAGA